GUGGCUGGUGCCAGCUAUGGCUAUGGAGGAUGAUGGUCCUGAACCGCCUAAAAUGAAGAAGAAGAAGAAGAAAAAAUACUUAUUAAUUAUGGACGUUAAAGAAGACAACCCCAUAAAAAUACAUUAAGGAAAAACUGGCAUGAUUGUUGUGAGAAUCAAAAACAGACAGAAACAUCUACAUUUAGGAGCCAUUUGGGGACAUUAUUCUAAAAGUUCUUCAUAUAAGUAUUGAGGAAUGACAAUAAAGAAAGUAUGGUUGCUCUUGAGGAAUGACAAUAAAGAAAAUACUACAAACAAGAAGGUUGUGGACAUCCCAAGCUUCUUAAGGGGCCAACCUGGUGGGGAGGAAGAAAAGAAGUGGAAAGGAUGCUUGAAUACUAGAAUAUGAAGUUUGAGUCAUGACUGUAUCAAGAUCAGUCUU